CAGUGUUUUUAGUUCCCUUUUUCCUCUGUAAAAGUUUUUUUUAAAAAAAAUCAGGUCCAAUUUUCAGAAAUUUCACCCGCUUCAGAGAGGUAUUUUUGUGUCUCACCAUUCAGAGUUCUUGCAGAAAAUUUCUUUACGUAGCAUAGCAAUUGAAAUAAUCUUAUUUUAUCUGAAAAUAUUUAGAGGUCGUCUAAAAAUUUCUUUGGAGCUUCAUCCCAGGCAAAAUAAGUUGUUUGCUUAUGAAAUUCCAUUGUGAAAGAAUUUAGCAUCUGGUCCUACAAAAGUACAUGAUUUUUUCUUUGUGACCUCUUGCAAUGAAGAGAAGAAAAAUGAGAAGGGAUGUGCAGUACUAGAUCCCUUGCUUUUUAUAUAUAUAUAUCCUCCUCUAUGGCAUUUGAAUGAUAAAAGACCAAUUUCUGCCCUUGCCUAACCUCCAGCAGCCCCACUGAUUUCCAAAUUGUAAUGAAUGACUUUACAGACUCGAGCCCUUUCAUUCUUUCUCUUGCAGAUUGAGUGGCUCAACUCGGACAAUGGGCUCCUGCCUACAUAAGUGCACAGCUGGGAUAAAACCACUGAUUCUGGGAGACAUGCUCCAUCGUGAGUGAGAAACGAAUCUGGUCUGUGAUUUACAAAUUUUAAUGGAGCAUGAGCGGGGGAAGAGCAUGCAAAUCUUUGCGUUCUACAUCAUCAUAGUACUCCACCAGCGGAGUGCUUCUGAGGUAUUUUUGUUGAGUAUUCACAAAACAUCAUUUUUUUUCCAAAUGUUUGAGGGAUGGAAAAAUUUAACAAUCCUUUGUUUCCUAUAGCAUGCUACAAAAUGUGCGUACUGAUAUAAGGAGAAUCAUAGUAAGCAUCAUGAAUGAAUCUUCACUUCAAGUCAUUUCUCACUCGAACUUUAUGCUGCAUAGCAUGUACCAAAUACAGCCUUCAGCAUUAUGGUGUUGGUCUAGGAAAAGAUAUUAUGCAGAGAUGUACAUAAUGCCUAUGAACUAUGGCUGAUGACAGAGCUACAAAAGAUAUUAGAGCCUAGUAGGGUUCUAAUAGUUUAAGAAAGCAUUUUCUCCAUUAAUAGUACUGUAAUUAACAGCUGAAAUAAACAAUAUGGGUAAGACCAAUAUUAAUAAAGUAUUUCAAAGUUUUCCAUAGUAGUAAAACAAUAAAAAAGAACAGAUCUGGAAGGUGGAGACCUUGUUUAAAACUCAGAGCAGAUGUCACGGCCAGACAAAACCUCUGCUCUCCCAGGGAAAGCAACUGAUGUGCUGCAAAACUGCCAACUACAACUACAAGAGCUGGGAAAAAAAAAAAAAAAAAAAAAAAAAAAGACCUGUUUCUGCAGGUUUUAAGGAAUCAUCUUGACCUUUGUGUCUUGAGAACAUCGCUGGUUGUGACUGAUUCACUCUGAGAUAGUCCCCGUGUGUCAGACAGACACAAUGCAGCUGUUCUCCUUCAAGUCUGUGCACCGAAUAAGUGAAAUGCUGAUGAGGACUUUGGGUAAAAUGAGGUAUUGUUGCAGUAAAGUUUGUUUCUGAGUGUGAUACAGCUGGAUUUUGUAACACUCUUCAGUUUUACUCAGUCAGAUUUUCCCCUCCUACUCAUACAAGGAAAUCUCCCUUUGUUCCCAAAGGUUGUUCCUCCCAAAAAGUAUACAGCCAUCUGCACUUUACCCUUGUGUUUCAGUUCUCCAC
ensembl:lncRNA